rnacentral:tmRNA from 1 species
GGGGGUGAAAUGGAUUAGACAUCUGUUUUUGAACUAAAAGUGCAUGUCGAGCAGGUAACAAUCUCGUAAAAAAAGUUGCAAAACAAUUAGUUGGCAAUAAAGCAAACUACGCUCUAGCUGCUUAAUUAAGCUAGCUUUCUUUACCUGAUAUCUAUUAAGGUAAAAGAAAGUCGAUUAAUAGAUUGCUCAAAAAAAUAUUUCUGUGAUUUUUUUGAAAAGCUUUUAACAGAAUACUUUUUGAUUAUCCUGCUCAUCGGAGAAUUAAAAAAGGAAUUUAAAAGAUGAAACUAAACAUGUAGAGCUGAUAGGGAUAGAUUGAUGGACGCGGGUUCGAUACCCGCCACCUCCACCA